rnacentral:rRNA from 1 species
UACGUAGGGGGCAAGCGUUGUCCGGAUUUAUUGGGCGUAAAGAGCGUGUAGGCGGCCAAGCAGGUCAGCUGUGAAAACUCGAGGCUCAACCUCGAGACGUCGGUUGAAACCGCUUGGCUAGAGUCCGGAAGAGGAGAGUGGAAUUCCGGGUGUAGCGGUGGAAUGCGUAGAGAUCCGGAAGAACACCGGUGGCGAAGGCGGCCCGCUGGGAUACUUGCUGACGCUGAGGCGCGACAGCGUGGGGAGCAAACAGG